GCCUGGGUGGCUCAGUCGGUUGAGCAUCCGACUUUGGCUCAAGUCAUGACCUCAUGGUUCGUGGGUUCGAGCCCCACGUCGGGCU
rnacentral:tRNA from 1 species